rnacentral:misc_RNA from 1 species
AUGAAGUGCGUACGACUUUUUGUCAGUUGUGCGGGCAUCGGCGAGUGUUAAGUGUGUUGUAGAAUCGGUCCAUCGUAAAAGAAACAGUUUCUCUCUAACCAUGAGUGGAUAUGCCUGGGUUACACUGGCUACCAACGAUGCCUAUUCCUUGGGAGCGUUAGUACUGGCACACUCUCUGCGUCGUGUUGGUACCAAACAUGAAUUGGCCGUCUUGGUUACUCCGGGAGUAACCGAAGUAAUGAGGGAGAAGUUGUCGGCGGUUUUCUCGGUGGUAAUGGAAGUGAAUGUACUCGAUUCAAAAGAUGAGGCUAAUUUGGCAUUGUUAGCUAGACCAGAAUUGGGCAUUACAUUUACGAAACUUCAUUGUUGGAGACUGUCUCAAUACGAUAAAUGCGUAUUCCUUGACGCGGACACACUUGUCGUCAGAAACUGUGAUGAGUUAUUCGAAAGGGAGGAGUUAUCCGCUGCUCCCGACGUGGGCUGGCCCGAUUGCUUUAAUUCUGGCGUAUUUGUGUACAAACCGUCGCAACAAACCUUUGCUUCGAUCACCGCGUUCGCCGCUGCCAAAGGCUCGUUCGACGGCGGUGAUCAGGGCCUGUUGAACAUGUACUUCAGCGACUGGGCCCACAAGGAUAUUUCGAAACAUCUACCAUUCAUCUAUAACAUGUGUUCCACUGCUGUGUAUUCGUAUCUUCCUGCGUUCAAACAGUUCGGAGAUGAUGUUAGGAUAAUUCAUUUCAUUGGUAUCACCAAACCUUGGUUACAGUAUUUCGAUACUUUAACUGGUAUUGUUCAACCACCAAUGGAGUCGGCUCAUUUGCAACCACUGUUACAAUUGUGGUGGAACAUAUUUUGUGAUAAAGUCCAUCCUCACUUGUCCCCCGUUAUGGCCACCAGCACAUUGGCACCAAUUUGGCACGAAUUUUCUCCUGCACCUUAUCGGUCCUCUGUUCCGCAAAGUCCUCCCGUUUACACAGACAUACAAGACAAACCACAGAACGACAUUUAUAUAGAACCGCCAGACUUCUCAGAAUUUAAAGAUCCAUGGGAAAAUUAUUGUGCACAACAUGAUCCAGUUAUCCAUAUGCAAGAAAACAAUAACGAAAUUCAACAGUAUUAUCCCACAAUUGACAGACCUUCACCUGUAACUGUAUUAAGUGACACAUUUAAUUUUGUAAAACCUAUUCACCAGACUCGUUAUGAAUCACCGCUAGAACAUAAUAAUAGGGAGGCGUUUCAUAAGCAACACUAUAACGAAUAUAAUUCUUCCCCUUCGUAUAUUCAACACCAUCAUAAUCAAGAACAAUCUAAUCAAUACAUCAGUGAGCAUAAGCAACAACAGCAUUCAUUUUUCCAUUCGGAAAAUACAUCCACCGCGAACGUUCAUUCUGAUUAUUGGCAGAAUCAUCACAGUGUCGAAAGUUCUGUAUCUGUACAUAGUACGCAAAAUCAGCAUUCAGAUGAAUCUCAUAAGCAUUAUAAUGCUGAUCAUCAAGACACUCAUCAACAUUCUUGCGGUAACGUUACAGUCCCGGAAGAAACGAGACAACAUCAACAUGUUGAUUAUCAUCGUGCUUAUCAACAUUCUUGCAAUAUCGAUCAUAGAUCAUUUCCACAAGAAACAAAACAACCGGAUCAUGUUGAACAUCGACAUGCUCAUAAUCAUUUUUCUGACAACAACAGACAAUUACCAGAAGAACCAAAACCAUAUCGACACAAUGAACAUUUUGUUGAUCAUAUGCAAAGUCAGCAUCAUCAAACGUACGAUAAUGUAACUAGUCGACAAACUACUCAACAUUAUCAGCAAGACAACCAAACUCAUCAUAAGUGGGAAGAACACACGAAUGAUAAAGUUAAUCAUGAACAGCCUAAAGAAAUCAAUAUAGCUCAUCAUAAUGAUCUGUCUGCUAAACAAAGCGCUGACCAAGGUGAUAAUGUAAACAUUACAGACGUACGGACUAAUUCACUGAUAUCUACUAGCCCUCCUCCUGAUUCCAAACCUUGUACAGAUAUCCACAAUGUAGCAACGCAAUCUGACCCACACAAAACGGAAGACAGUUCAGAUGCUGGUCUCGCUGGUGCCUUGGCUCAAAUCACAUUGGGUGAACCCAGAAGCGCCGAACAAAUUGCCCUAGAAGAACAUAUGCGAAAACAAAGCUGGGAGCAGGGACACAUUGAUUAUAUGGGUCGUGAUAGCUUUGACAAUAUUUGGAAGAAAAUCUGCCAAACGCUCUCCCUUGCACCGACACGAUUACCCUCUCCCCCUAAGGAAAUUCAAAAGCCCACAAAAACUGCUGCAUCUGAUGAGACUGCCAAGUCUACUGAAUGUACUGAAUCUACUGAAGUUAUUGAACCUACUAAAUCUAUCGGAGUUGUUGAACCUACUGAAUCUACUGAGGUUGUUGAAUCUACUCAAUCUACUGAAGCAAGAGAUGAGGUGGAUAAGAGAACUGGAACGGAGGACAGCAACUAACAGAUCCUGGCGCCAUAGCAUUGCUACGUCUUGUAUUGUCAUUUUGCUUUAAUGGGCUCAAGCAGCAACCAGUCCUACUGAAGAACAAUCUCUACUUACAAAUGUUCCUGUAACAGACAAUGGUAGCACAGA